rnacentral:misc_RNA from 1 species
AAAAAAAAAAAAAAAACCUAAACAAAUGAAGAAAGGGGCACUUUAGUACUUUUCUGUGCAAGUGUAAAUAAAAUUGAAGAUCAUCAUACAUGGUGAUACCACACUUUUAAGUGGUACUAGAGAACUUUUGAGCAGAUUUAUUCUUUGAGAUCUAUAUAUAAUAAAGUACAUGAAACUAUUUUAUAAUUCACACUGUAGGAGCUGUCCAUUAAGCUGCUUGCUUAAAUUGGUGACUGACAUAGUUAUUAAAGGCUUAAGGCACACUAAGGCGCCAAAGUGCUCUGGAGCCUAGGCACAAGGUGCAAGGCGCAAGGCGCAGGCGCAAGCCUGAGUCAGGUAAGGCGCAAAAAUUAAAAAA